GAGAUACUCCUGUUUAAAAACAGCAUCCCCAUAUGAAGGAUGUGAAUGAACAGAUCCUGUUUAAACCAGAAUUUCCUUCCCGAUGCCGGUUUGGUCUGCUGGUUAAGGUGCUGGCCUGGGAACCAGGAGAUUGUGACUUCUAGUUCCACCUUCAGCAUGAAAGCCGACUGGAUGACUUUGGGUCAAUCACCGGGAGACGGUGAGAAUUCGAAUCCUGUCUUUGGCUGGCUGGGUGAUUUGGAGACGGAAAGUUGAAAUUAGUGCUGUAGCAGACUGAGAAGGGAGAAACUAUAGCAGUGUUUCUCACCCCGAGGAACUUUAAGACGGCAUGCAAGUUUAAGAUGGGUGGACUUCAACUCCCAGAAUUCUCCAACCAGCAUGAACUUUAAGACGGGUGGACGUCAACACCCAGAAUUCCCCAGCCAGCAUGCAACUUUAAGAUUUUCAGGAAAUCGAAUCUAUCACCCAUAGCUCACUAAAGAGACACAGUCCAGUCCAGAUUCUCUGUCAGUUUCCAGCUGUCACCCUGCUCUUAUCGUACAGAAAAAUCUCCUGGCACCAUUAUGAAGGACUUCGCUUUUGUUUGCUGAAGCUGUAAUCCAGGUAUCCAUGCAUCCAUGCAUCUGCCCACAACACCCCUGUGGCGGUAGGACGGAGAGAGGGACCGGUUC